rnacentral:rRNA from 1 species
GUGGCGCCGGGUGCUUAACACGUAACCACCUGCCCUUGACUGGGGGAUAGCCCSCGAAAGGCGGAUWAAUACCGCAUAAAACAACAGCCCGGCAUCGGGCAAUUGUUAAAGAUUUAUUGGUCAAGGAUGGGGUUGCGUGACAUUAGCUAGUUGGCGGGGUAACGGCCCACCAAGGCGACGAUAUCUAGGGGAGCUGAGAGGCUGGUCCCCCACACGGGCACUGAGAUACGGGCCCGACUCCUACGGGAGGCAGCAGUAGGGAAUAUUGGGCAAUGGAAGAGAUUCUGACCCAGCCAUGCCGCGUGCAGGAUGAAGGCUUUCUGAGUCGUAAACUGCUUUUGCCAGGGAAGAAAAAAAGGUAUGCGUACUUUACUGACGGUACCUGGUGAAUAAGCACCGGCUAACUCCGUGCCAGCAGCCGCGGUAAUACGGANGGUGCANGCGUUGUC